UACAGAGGGGGCAAGCGUUGUUCGGAAUUACUGGGCGUAAAGCGCGCGUAGGCGGCCUCAUAAGUCCGUUGUGAAAGUCAAAGGCUCAACCUUUGAAAGCCGAUGGAUACUGUGAGGCUAGAGUCCGGAAGAGGCGAGUGGAAUUCCUGGUGUAGCGGUGGAAUGCGCAGAUAUCAGGAGGAACACCGGUGGCGAAGGCGGUUCUCUGGGCAUUACCUGACGCUGAGGAGCGAAAGCAUGGGGAGCGAACAGG
rnacentral:rRNA from 1 species